rnacentral:rRNA from 1 species
GGGGGAUAAGCGGAAGAAAUUCCGUCUAAUACCGCGUAAUAACUCCGAGAGGCAUCUCCUGGGGUUUAAAGGGUAACACCGGCUACGGAUGGCCAUGCGGCGCAUUAGCUAGUUGGCGGGGUAACGGCCCACCAAGGCGACGAUGCGUAGGGGUUCUGAGAGGAAGGUCCCCCACACUGGUACUGAGACACGGACCAGACUCCUACGGGAGGCAGCAGUGAGGAAUAUUGGUCAAUGGGCGCGAGCCUGAACCAGCCAAGUCGCGUGAGGGAAGACGGUCCUAUGGAUUGUAAACCUCUUUUGUCGGGGAGCAAAAGACGCCACGCGUGGCGUUCCGAGAGUACCCGAAGAAAAAGCAUCGGCUAACUCCGUGCCAGCAGCCGCGGUAAUACGGAGGAUGCGAGCGUUAUCCGGAUUUAUUGGGUUUAAAGGGUGCGCAGGCGGAAGAUCAAGUCAGCGGUAAAAUUGAGAGGCUCAACCUCUUCGAGCCGUUGAAACUGGUUUUCUUGAGUGAGCGAGAAGUAUGCGGAAUGCGUGGUGUAGCGGUGAAAUGCAUAGAUAUCACGCAGAACUCCGAUUGCGAAGGCAGCAUACCGGCGCUCAACUGACGCUCAUGCACGAAAGUGUGGGUAUCGAACAGGAUUAGAUACCCUGGUAGUCCACACAGUAAAC